GACGGGGACCCGCACAAGCAGCGGAGCAUGUGGUUUAAUUCGAAGCAACGCGAAGAACCUUACCAGGUCUUGACAUCCAUCUAAAGCGAUAGAGAUAUCGUGUGAGCUUGCUCGAGAUGAGACAGGUGGUGCAUGGUUGUCGUCAGCUCGUGUCGUGAGAUGUUGGGUUAAGUCCCGCAACGAGCGCAACCCUUAUCGUCCGUUACUAACAGGUAAAGCUGAGGACUCAGACGAGACUGCCGGGGACAACUCGGAGGAAGGUGGGGACGACGUCAAAUCAUCAUGCCCCUUACGACCUGGGCUACACACGUGCUACAAUGGGUACAACAAAGAGAAGCAAAACCGCAAGGCGGAGCAAAACUCAAAAAGUACUCUCAGUUCGGAUUGUGGGCUGCAACCCGCCCACAUGAAGUUGGAGUUGCUAGUAAUCGCGGAUCAGCAUGCCGCGGUGAAUACGUUCCCGGGUCUUGUACACACCGCCCGUCACACCAUGGGAGUUGGGAGCGCCCGAAGCCAGUGAGCUAACCGUAAGGAGGCAGCUGCCGAAGGUGAGACCAAUGACUGGGGUGAAGUAGUAACAAGGUAGGCGC
rnacentral:rRNA from 1 species